rnacentral:lncRNA from 1 species
AGAUCCUGUUUCUGUAUGCAAAAUAAAGAUUGGAAGAAGACUGCAAAAUGUUGUCAUUCAAGUCCUUUAAUGUAGCAAAUGAAAAAAUCUGACACAGUGCUGUGGCACAUUCAGGGUUUUUUGGUCUAAAAUCCACUAGCUCCAACUGGGACAAGAUUGUGUACAGCAAGUAGGUAACACUUGUAUUGAAAUUCAUCUCAGCUUUGCUCAUGUGCAGUCAGUAUCUUUAAUUUUUCUUUAUAGUGCAGGUAACUUGGGAGCAAUAUGAAGAUCCUCUAUGAAUUAUAAUUAGAUUCAAUACAGUAUGAAUGUCAAAGAGCUGCUGUUUUGAUGGUCAGUGUUUGAGCUGCAUGCUGCCUCCUUUGCCUUCCAGUGUAAAGAGUUCAGUUUAGUUUGGUUUGAUGCCCCUAGGGUACAGGUAAUAAUGAAAAUGCUGCUAUGGCCACUCAACUUAUUUGUAAGCUCUGUAAUCUUCCUGAAGGUGUGGUUUUUCUUCCUAAUAUACUAUUAAUUUUAUAAUUAUUUUACAACUCCUUGUUCAUCUACUUCCCUGGUUUGGUAUCUGGGGCACUUCCAUUUUCUUACUUCAAUUUGCACAAAGGAGAAGUCAUCCAGCCCUUAUGCCUUUUGAAAUAGUGGGUUUCAAUUCUACACAUGCCAGGAUGUGGGAAUCCCCAUGUCCAUGGGGUUUUUUGGGUAGAUGAGACAUGUUAUAGCUGUCAUUCUACAAUUACAACUGAACUCCAUUUUCUCUUUUAGCAUACAUUACAAGCAUUUGAUAUAGGUGUUUAACUGAUUUUGAAGUGUUCACAUCUUGGCCUUAACUGCCAUUGUUGCUUGUCUUUCCACUUAAAUGUCAAGAGUAAUUCUGGUUUCUAACCUCUCAUUGACCUGAUAGGUAGUGCUUGCCCAGUGCUUGAUGGAAAUGUCUCAUUUGGAUUAAUAAACCUGUGUGUCCAUGGCAGUGGACCUAAUUUGCAUUUAGAGGAUGGAGCUGGGCUGAUUCCCCUGUGGAAGCAAGUCUUUGUGCUGCCUCCUGAAAUCUUGGCUGUUCGGGAUGUUGAAGAUUCUCCAAAACAACAUGGAUACAUUUCUCAGAAGCUCCAGGUGUCUGUUUGGGUGAGAUUUUCAUCAAUCAGCAGUGUGAUACAGAGGCAGUGGAACAUGUACAGAGAUCAUGGACUUUGCAAAGGACAUCCUCUGUCUACAGAUGUAAAUAUUUUGAGCAACCUUUUAGUGUCACAAGCCUGACUCUCCAAGGACAUAUCAUUAGUGCAUCUGUGAUGGCCUUUGGGAAAUCCUCCUGCCUAGUGCCAUUGAAAACUUCUGUCUGGAAUUGUCAUCACACUCCCAAAGGCAGGUGCCUGACUACGGGUGACAGGUUAGUCCAUGCAGUGCUGGAACCCCCAAACCUGCCCCUUGCUCAGAACUGAGCCAUUUGGGAACAUCCUUUGUGUCAGUCCCCAUCUUUCAAAGCCCUGCCCUAUCCCUUCCUCCUCCUCCAGUGCAACGUCGUGGCUGUGCCUGGUCAUCAUUUACAUGUAAACUCUGGAGCAUGGGGAGGGGUUUGAGCUGCCACCUGUGCUCAAACUGAACACAACAGAACACAUUCUGCAGAGAGAGGAGAAAGAGCUGCCCCUGCCCAGGGACGGGGAGCAGUUGUAAUGGGAUUUACCAGUGCAGUGCAGCAUGGUCUAAUAACCAUCUUCCAUUCAAUACACACCAGUUAAAUUAAGAGCUUGUGCUUUUCCAGAAGUCAGGGGAAGCGAGUAAAAUUUUCAGUGCCUUUUAGCUAGAAGGGAUGAACGCAGCCUGAUUCCUCCUACCCACUCUAGCUCCUUUUAAGAGAUUUUUGUGAGUUGUGUGCAUCUCAACUCCUGUUUUAGUAGCGAUGUCAUUUUUCUGCUUACUCAGGAAAGUUGCAAAUAAGGGAGACUCAAACUUCUCACAGAAAUGGGGAGGGUGAAGCAGUGUGGAUGGGGCAGAGGAAAAAAAGAAAAAAAAAAAAAAAAAAAAAAAAAGGGGGGGGGGGGGGGGGGGGGGGGGGGGGGGGGGGGGGGGGGGGGGGGGGGGGGGGGGGGGGGGGGGGGGGGGGGGGGGGGGGGGGGGG